AUUGAACGCUGGCGGCAUGCCUAACACAUGCAAGUCGAACGGGGCAGCAAUGCCUAGUGGCGGACGGGUGAGGAAUACGUAGGAAUCUGCCCUUAAGUGGGGGAUAACCAGGGGAAACCCUGACUAAUACCGCAUGAUCUCUUCGGAGCAAAGAGGGGGACCGCAAGGCCUCUCGCUUCUGGAUGAGCCUACGUCUGAUUAGCUAGUUGGGAGGGUAAAGGCCUACCAAGGCGACGAUCAGUAACUGGUCUGAGAGGAUGAUCAGUCACACCGGAACUGAGACACGGGCCGGACUCCUACAGGAGGCAGCAGUGGGGAAUAUUGGACAGUGGGCGCAAGCCUGAUCCAGCAAUGCCGCGUGUGUGAAGAAGGCCUUCGGGUUGUAAAGCACUUUAGCCUGGAAAGAAAAAACUUUGGUUAACACCCAAAGUCUUGACGGUACCAGGAGAAUAAGCACCGGCUAACUCUGUGCCAGCCGCCGCGGUAAGAC
rnacentral:rRNA from 1 species